GAUGAACGCUGGCGGCGUGCCUAAUACAUGCAAGUCGAGCGAAUGGAUUAAGAGCUUGCUCUUAUGAAGUUAGCGGCGGACGGGUGAGUAACACGUGGGUAACCUGCCCACAAGACUGGGAUAACUCCGGGAAACCGGGGCUACUACCGGAUAACAUUUUAAACCGCAUCGUUCGGAAUUGAAAGGCGGCUUCGGCUGUCACUUAUGGAUGGACCCGCGUCGCAUUAGCUAGUUGGGGAGGUAACGGCUCACAAAGGCAACGAUGCGUAGCCGACCUGAGAGGGUGAUCGGCCACACUGGGACUGAGACACGGCCCAGACUCCUACGGGAGGCAGCAGUAGGGAAUCUUCCGCAAUGGACGAAAGUCUGACGGAGCAACGCCGCGUGAGUGAUGAAGGCUUUCGGGUCGUAAAACUCUGUUGUUAGGGAAGAACAAGUGCUAGUUGAAUAAGCUGGCACCUUGACGGUACCUAACCAGAAAGCCACGGCUAACUACGUGCCAGCAGCCGCCGUAA
rnacentral:rRNA from 1 species